rnacentral:lncRNA from 1 species
GUGGCCGAUUUCCCCGAUGAAAUGAAAAUUGGAUUCAUGUAACAGGACAAAGAUUUCACAUUCCUUAGCUGGAAAGAUAUGUGGCCAUGAAAGAGAAUCCUUUUAUUCGUGAGGAGCUGGAUGAGAAGAAACUCUCACGUCCGGUUCUGUAGUAGAGAUGGAAUUGUGAAACAACCAUCAACUAUAAUCCCAAAAGAAUUAGAUUCCGUAAACAACAUAGAUGAAGACUGAAGAGAAUAUCUUAUCGAGGUAGUCAUAUUUGUUUCGGUAAAUAUGCUCUUCGGGCACUUGAACUUGUUUGGAUCACAUCUAGACAAAUCGAAGCAGGUCGACGAGCAAUGACACGAAAUGCACACUGUGGUGGAAAAAUAUGAUUCGAUCCACAAGGACUAUGAUUGAGAAUUGUUUGAUCAUCUUUAUCUGAGGAAGAGGCGAAAUAGAUUCAACUUGAAUUCGGGACCGCUAUUCGAAAUC